rnacentral:rRNA from 1 species
GCGACGACGGGUAGCUGGUUCUGAGAGGUACUACCAGCCACACUGGAACUGAGAUACGGUCCAGACUCCUACGGGAGGCAGCAGUGGGGAAUAUUGCACAAUGGGCGAAAGCCUGAUGCAGCGACGCCGCGUGAGGGAUGAAGGCCUUCGGGUCGUAAACCUCUUUCGGCAGGGACGAAGCGAUCAGUGACGGUACCUGCAGAAGAAGCCCCGGCUAACUACGUGCCAGCAGCCGCGGUAAGACGUAGGGGGCGAGCGUUGUCCGGAUUCAUUGGGCGUAAAGCGCGCGUAGGCGGCUGCGCAAGUCGGUUGUGAAAUUCCGGGGCUCAACCCCGGAACUGCGUCCGAUACUGCGUGGCUAGAGGUAGGUAGGGGAGAUCGGAAUUCCUGGUGUAGCGGUGAAAUGCGCAGAUAUCAGGAGGAACACCGGUGGCGAAGGCGGAUCUCUGGGCCUUACCUGACGCUCAGGCGCGAAAGCUAGGGGAGCGAACAGGAUUAGAUACCCUGGUAGUCCUAGCCGUAAACGUUGGGUGCUAGGUGUGGGCGGAUAU